GGGGGUAUAGCUCAGUGGUAGAGCGCAUUCUUAGCAUUACAAGGUCCUGGGUUCAAUCUCUAGUACCUCUA
rnacentral:tRNA from 1 species